rnacentral:piRNA from 1 species
UAGGGCUAAGAGAACAACUGCUGAAA